CCUACGGGCGGCAGCAGUGAGGAAUAUUGGUCAAUGGGCGCGAGCCUGAUGCAGCCAAGUAGCGUGAAGGAUGACUGCCCUACGGGUUGUAAACUUCUUUUGUAAGGGAAUAAAGUGCGGCACGUGUGCCUUUUUGUAUGUACUUUAUGAUUAAGGAUCGGCCAACUCCGCGACAGCAGCCGCGGUAAUACGGAUGGACCGGGCGUUAUCCGGAUUUAUUGGGUUUAGAGGGAGCGUAGAUGGGUUGUUAAGUCAGUUGUGAAAGUUUGCGGCUCAACCGGAAGAUUGCAAUUGAUACUGGCAGGCUGGAGUACAGUUGGGGUAGGCGGAAUUCGUGGUGUAGCGGUGAAAUGCUUAGAUAUCACGAAGAACUCCGAUUGCGAAGGCAGCCUACUAAACUGCAACUGACAUUGAGGCUCGAAAGUGUGGGUAUCAAACAGGAUUAGAUACCCCGGUAGUC
rnacentral:rRNA from 1 species